rnacentral:rRNA from 1 species
AGGACCCGUGCCCACAGUUGCCAGCAUACCCUCCGGGGUGAUGGGCACACUGUGGGGACCGCCGCUGCUAAAGCGGAGGAAGGUGCGGGCUACGGUAGGUCAGUAUGCCCCGAAUCAUCCGGGCUACACGCGGGCUACAAUGGUUGGGACAAUGGGCACCUACACCGAGAGGUGAUGGUAAUCUCCUAAACCCAGCCUUAGUUCGGAUUGAGGGCUGCAACUCGCCCUCAUGAAGCCGGAAUCCGUAGUAAUCGCGUAUCAAUAUCACGCGGUGAAUAC